CAUUCAUAUUCCUGUAGUGCAAAGAACAUUCAUUUGACAACCUAAAGAGAUGCUGCAUAACUCACUCUAAGAUGUAUUAUUAUCCAUGCUCAUCUGUGCACUCUCUCCUCCAAAUGCAACGGCCGGUGAGAACGGAAUGGAUUGGCAUUUUUUCAUAUACAUUCGGAUUAUAAAAUCUGGCAAGAUCAACUCUACUGGCUAAAGACACAUUUCCAAGGGGUGUAUGGUCAGAGUCUGGAGGCCAUUCGCUCCAGUCCAGUCCUGAAAAAGCCUGCAGAACCUCUCAGCCUCUCCUGUAAGGGAUCUGGAUUUACCUUUAGUAGCUACCACAUGGCCUGGAUACGUCAACCUGCAGGAAGAGCACUUGAAUGGAUAAAUAUAGACUGGUAGUGGAACUGCAUAUGCAAAAAGUGUUGAAGGACGGAUUGAAGUCACCAGAGACAAUUCUAACAGCAUGGUGUAUCUGAAGCUGUCUGGUCUGAGAGCAGAGGACUCUGCUGUGUAUUACUGUGCGAGACACAGUGGUGUGAGUGAGUGGAGGAUCCGUACAAAAAACCCUCAGAGACUCUAACUGCCAGCAGAGUCAACAGAGGGCAGUAGAGCAUCAGUACAACAGCCUACAAACUGCACAUAUUCCCCUGAGAACCAAGCAACCAGUAAACCAUCAACUGAACUACUGUUAACAUGAGCAUUGUCCUAUAGGCAAGAGUAGAAAGUUAGAAGUUAGAAAAAAUGAUUAAAGUGUCACUCCACAAUACAUACUGAUAUAUUAAUUGACCAAUGCCUGCUGACAGUUCCAUCUGAAAAGGAUCACUGAAUCUCCAUAAGAAUAUCAUGUUAAUGUUGCUGUACGAAUCAUCUCUUGUAUUUAUCUCAACUUGCACAUUAUUUCCCCUUGCUUCCAGCCUAGUAUUUAGUUUGGUAUAGUUAAUAUAAGCCUAACUUUCUGCCUAUCAGACCUCUGAAGAUUUGUUUUACUUUUGAAAUGCGAACUCCCCUGUAGAGAGAAUGAUCGCGUUCCCCUUCUCAGACGUUGCAUGCAUCAACCAAUGGUUGCGUGCCACAUCAUUGACUGUGUCAUGGACUGACAGAUUGCCAUAGAGAUCCUAUCACAUUUCUAAUUCCUAGUUCUAUGCAGAUUGCAAUAAAUGAUAGGUAAAAUACCUAUCCAGGUGUUGUAAGAUUUGGUAGGCGUCAGCAACGCCUGGGCUGUCGCUUCGGGCCGAACAACGCCAUUUACCUGUGACUGAAGUCAGCACAUAGCACGGCCUCUAGUCCCUUAUUGCUUAAUUACAUCAUCUAUACACAUGUAUGCAGAAACAAAACAAAGUACAGGCUAUGUGAGGUGAUGCAUCUCAUUAUGCUGUGUUCAUUCAUGACAGAAUGUAUAAAUGUAAAACAUAAUCUUUUUUUGUAAUGAUUGAUUUUGCUUAACAGCCCCAUUGGAGACAUGUCCUGUGAAUACUAGUGUAUUGUUUUUGUUGUUAAUUAUUUCCUUGACAAAUGGAUGUUUAUACAGUAUAUGCCAUUUAAUUGAACCCACAAUAAAUUGAAAUCAUGAAGGUUCUCAAUAUUUAGAAAAUGAUCAUGUUCCCCACAGUUCCUCCAGUCCUUGAGUCAGUUAUGUGUGUGGUGAGUAGGCCCUGGAGGUUUUUCUAACUAAGUGACCUGAACAGGAAAAACUCCUGGCACUACUGAUGAGCCAUAAAUGGACCUCUGACCUCAGUCAUCAGCCCCUCCCCCAUGACAUCAUGAUUUAAAUCCAGAACCCUCAGAGUUCAUAUAUAAUUAUGUUCUGCUGCUGACUUGUUGUCUUGUUGUCUUGUGUGGAGCAGCUGAGUUCAUAUCUCCACCUUCAGUAUGAUGGGAAAACUGUACCUUCUGCUGCUCUCUCUCUGUCUAACCUGUUUAAAUGAUCAGACUAUGGUGUCCAUUCCCUCCAGUCCACUCCAGAAAAAGCCUGGAGAAACUCUCAACCCCUCCGGCAGAGGAACUGGGUAUACCUUUACAACAUAUGGUAUGAACUAUAUUUGCCAACCUACAGGGAAGCCAUUGGAAUGGAUGGGCUGGAUCAACACCAAUACUGGAGCAGCAGGCUAUGCCAAAACCCUGGAGGGGCGGAUUGAACUGACCAAACAGAGCUCAGUGAGCAUGACACAUCUGAAAGUGUCUGGUCUGAAGGUUUAUUACUGUGUACGCUGGGUCCAGUGAUCAUUAGUUUGACCUCCUCCCCUGCUCAACUCAAACAUCCUGGACAGUCAGUGAAACUGUCUUGCCCAGUUUCUGGCUAUGCCCUGAC